CGGAACCAAGUUAAAGGAGCUGUCAGACGAUGGAGGUUGAACCACAUGCAGUUGCCCCGAUAGAUUGCUUUGAAAAUGGCAAAUAGAUCCGCGGAGAACACUUCUCAGGGUUUAGGUGCCACACAGUUAUCAAGGAGACUAUGUUUGAUCUUGGCUGUCUUCUUCCACCUGGUCAAAUCUGGACUUCAAAACUGCAGUGGAUAUCCUGGUUUGCUGAUG